CUCUGACAUGCUUGUUUUCUUCCUUUUAACACCCAACAACUUUUGCCAAAUGAGACUUAAGUACAUUAAUCACAUCAUACUCUUUCCCAAGCUGUCUCUGCUCACUAGAGUUUGAGUCUGUCGGUGAUUCUCCUAUAUAGAAGGCAUAGCUGAUACAAAUUCAAGACAGGAAAAGGCAAGGUGGAGAAAUCAAGACCCCAACAGAGGGCUGACCAGGUUACUCAGCAAUGCUGUGGCAGAAACACACAAAAGAGUCCGUGGCUUGUGAUUCACAGGCCAAGACGCUGCCUUGGCGCAGCACUCCCCGUGUUGACGUGGAAGGUGGUGAUGGCAGUGAGCAAAAAAGUGAUCCAUGCACAGAUGCAUUUGUGAACGCCGGAUGAAACAAAGUUAAAAUAGGACCCAGCGGAUGAAGUGGACUGAAACACUGAAUCUGAAACAUUGAUGAUCACUACAGCAAAGGGAAGAGCUCGGUAAAUUGUGCAUAUCGUUCUUAGAUCUUCCACCCAAAAGUAACACUUCCACUUACAUGUAUUGGCCACGAGACAGGAUUGUGCCAUGUUGCCCAGGCUGGUCUGGAACUCCUGGACUCAAGUGAUCCACCCACCUCGAACCUCAACUUCCUAAAGUGCUGGGAUUACAGGCGCGAACCACUGUGUCUGGCCUCCGGGUGGUUUUAAGUGGGAACUUUUAUUUCUCACACAUUCUUCUGUAUAUUCUAUAUUUUCUACAAGAAAUAUAUAUUACUUUUCUAAUCAGGAAAAAAAAUGAAUAUAUGCAUGUGCCUUUACAAAACUGUUCUCAUUCUGCAGAUGAGUGAAACCAAGGUAACAGAUGGGAAGGAAAUGACUCACGUAAGAUCACACAGCAAUCGAUGUCACAUUAUGACAAUGUUCAGGAAACUGCAUUUCCAUUUUUGCACCCCACUCUCUUGGGUCUGUGUUACCCACAGCUUUUCUAACAAGAAUCUCGUUGGCAUCUGACUUGAUCUGGGGACCUAGCACUACACUAUGCAGAAGGGGGCCCCCCCUCAGAAGCCCAGUAUCAGUUAGUAUGUGCUUAUCUGCAGGGGCUCACUGCUGUGGGAGUUUCAGAAGUAGAAGCCACAGUCCCUGUUCUCAAAGGCUUACAGAUGGGUACUCACAGUUGCACAUGAAGCAGGGAUGUCAGUGCUGUUGUGCAGACUCUGAAUGCUGUAAGAAUAGCAGGGGAAGGAACUGGUUGUCAGAGGAGAAACCAAGAACCGUUGGCACAAAAUCUUUUUACCAGGGUUGUUCACAAAAGAAAAAAUGCUGGAAGCUCUGCUCCUUUUAAUUUCCCCCAGCUACCCUGUGUAGGCACCUGAAGGUCAACAGUAUGAAGGAGAAGGGGGUAGAAAUGCACAAAAUAGUUCUCGUUUUGCAUAUUCCAUAGUUCAUAGUAUGUAUUGAAGGUCUUCUUUGACAAACCCCACUGAAGUUUCCUGAUUUCACCUUCACCAUGGCUAAAAGCAGCAGCUCGCCCCCACGCUUUGAUUUUUCCCUCCUGUACUUUCUCUUCCCCUUCUGUUUCUCUUGGUGAGGGGUCCAAAUUGGAAACUUUUUUGUCCCACAGCCCACCAUAAGGGUUCAUUCUGUGAACCUAUGUCUAUUGCAUCCCAGCUUACCUAACAGCUCUUUCCCCAAGAACCAAACUUUAAGUUCCUCUCAGCAGCACAGUAAAUCUUCAGAGGCUAAUACAUGUUUUUUUUUUCUUGAGAUGGAGUUUUGCUCUUGUUGCCCAGGCUGGAGUGCAAUGGCACAAUCUCGGCUCACUGCAACCUCUGCCUCCUGGGUUCAAGCGAUUCUCUCACCUCAGCCUCCUGAGUAGCUGGGAUGACAGGCGCCCGCCACCAUGCCCAGCUAAUUUUUGUAUUUUUAGUAGACACGGGGUUUCACCAUGUUGGUCAGGCUGGUCUCAAACUCCUGAUCUCAGGUGAUCCACCCGCCUCGGCCUCCCAAAGUGCUGGGAUUACAGGUGUGAGCCACCGUGCCCAGCCCACAGACUAAUAUCUUUAAGGAACUUCUAGAAAUCAUCUCUGGCCGAGUCAUCCAGGUGCAAACGAGAGGUUCUGGGCUGAGAUCAAAGAGAACAAGGGGAAGAUUCAGCAGUUACACAGCUGGGCUCAUAGUGAGGGGAUUUGCAUGAAUAUUAACAUCAGCUCCAUUUACUGGGUUCUUUUACCCUGUGCCAGGCAGGUAAUUUGCUUGAUAUGCAUGAUCUGAUUUAAUUUAGUUCUCAUAGUGAUCUUUCUAAAGUAGGCACUACGAUCCCAUCUUCACAGGGAGAAAGGAAGCAAAGUAAGUUGCUCAAAAACACAGCUAGUCAACACCCCCAGAAUGUAUCAUGCCAAGAGUGAACUCUAAUGUAAACUGUGGACUUUGGGUGAUAAUGAUGUGUCAAUGUAGGUUCAAUGAUUGCAACAAAUGUACCACUCUGGUGUGGGAUGUUGACAGUGGGGGAGGCCAUGAGUUGGGGUGAUAGAGGAGAACUCUCUGUACUUUCUGAUUGAUUUUGCUGAGAACCUAAAACAGCUCUAAAAAACAAAGUCUAUGUAACCACACACACACACACACACACACACACACACCCCUAGUAAAUAGUAGGACCAGGAGUUAAGACUAGGUCUGUCUCCUUAGGUGAUGGUGAGUUAUUAUCAACAACAUGUUGAACUCCACCGUACAGGUAGCAAUAAUGAUGUGUGUGUGUGUGCGUGCGUGUGUGCACAUGUGCUGUGCAUGUAUUGAGGAUUGAGGGGGUCUGUGUUAAAAAAGAAAGAAUUGGAAGGAAGAAAUCUCAAACUGAGUCCUGGCUCCAUCACCAGCUGUGUGAUCCUGGACAGGACACUUUGGUUUUAGUUUCCUCAUCUGUAAAUUGCUACUGGGUCAUUGUGAAGAUCCAAUAAAAUAAAAUAUGUACAAAGUACUCUGAAAGCAUAAAGUACUCUGAAAGCAACUACUCCUGUAUUAGUUUCUCUCUCUCUCUCUCACACACACACACACACUCUCAAAUGUAUACAUCUGUGUGAUUUAAAGGGAUAGCCAGGAAACUCGUCUUGUAAGUCUCUAGUCCCACCUUGACACUGAACUACUCCUCUCAUUUGUAAAAUGAAGUGGUAGUUGAACUGGUACUUCCAUUGGAGGGUUUGUUGUGGUUUUCUUGAGACUCUAAACUCUGACUUCCAUCCUCUACUCAGAACUCCAUUCCUAUGUCCCCAUCCAGUCUUAAAGACUUGGCUGCUGUCUCUUCUGUCCACUCUCCACUGCCACCUUCGAGCUUGCAUCCUCCCCACACCCCGACCGGAGUCCCCUGUGCAAUUCAAGACACAGUGCAUCAGUGACAUUCAGACAUCUCUGUCUGAGGAACACUUUGUGGUUUCCCUGCCAUUUAGAAAAGCCUUUAGCUGUAGAAAUUUUCCAACAUACACAAAAACAGAGAGAGUAAUAUAUCUUCAUGUGCCCAAAACCCAUUUUCAACAAUUAUCAACACACAAGCAAUCUAGUUUCAUUUGUAUUCCCACUCACCACCCUACCAGUGGAUUAUUUUGAAGCAAAUACUAUACAUCAUAUUGUUCCAUCUAAAAUAUCUUUAAAAACAAUGACUCUUUUUAUUAACAUAACCAAAAUGCUGACUAGGCACGGUGGCUCACGCCUGUAAUCCCAGCACUUUGGGAGACCAAG
rnacentral:lncRNA from 1 species